rnacentral:rRNA from 1 species
AGAGUUUGAUCCUGGCUCAGGAUGAACGCUGGCGGCGUGCCUAAUACAUGCAAGUCGAACGAAACUUCUUUAUCACCGAGUGCUUGCACUCACCGAUAAAGAGUUGAGUGGCGAACGGGUGAGUAACACGUGGGCAACCUGCCCAAAAGAGGGGGAUAACACUUGGAAACAGGUGCUAAUACCGCAUAACCAUAGUUACCGCAUGGUAACUAUGUAAAAGGUGGCUAUGCUACCGCUUUUGGAUGGGCCCGCGGCGCAUUAGCUAGUUGGUGGGGUAAAGGCUUACCAAGGCAAUGAUGCGUAGCCGAACUGAGAGGUUGAUCGGCCACAUUGGGACUGAGACACGGCCCAAACUCCUACGGGAGGCAGCAGUAGGGAAUCUUCCACAAUGGGCGAAAGCCUGAUGGAGCAACGCCGCGUGGGUGAAGAAGGUCUUCGGAUCGUAAAACCCUGUUGUUAGAGAAGAAAGUGCGUGAGAGUAACUGUUCACGUUUCGACGGUAUCUAACCAGAAAGCCACGGCUAACUACGUGCCAGCAGCCGCGGU